rnacentral:rRNA from 1 species
GACGAACGCUGGCGGCGUGCUUAACACAUGCAAGUCGAACGGAAAGGCCCUGCUUUUGUGGGGUGCUCGAGUGGCGAACGGGUGAGUAACACGUGAGUAACCUGCCCUUGACUUUGGGAUAACUUCAGGAAACUGGGGCUAAUAACGGAUAGGAGCUCCUGCUGCAUGGUGGGGGUGGGAAAGUUUCGGCGGUUGGGGAUGGACUCGCGGCUUAUCAGCUUGUUGGUGGGGUAGUGGCUUACCAAGGCUUUGACGGGUAGCCGGCCUGAGAGGGUGACCGGCCACAUUGGGACUGAGAUACGGCCCAGACUCCUACGGGAGGCAGCAGUGGGGAAUAUUGCACAAUGGGCGGAAGCCUGAUGCAGCAACGCCGCGUGCGGGAUGACGGCCUUCGGGUUGUAAACCGCUUUCGCCUGUGACGAAGCGUGAGUGACGGUAAUGGGUAAAGAAGCACCGGCUAACUACGUG